GACGAACGCUGGCGGCGUGCUUAACACAUGCCAGUCGAACGGAAAGGCCCAGCUUGCUGGGUGCUCGAGUGGCGAACGGGUGAGUAACACGUGGGUGAUCUGCCCCUAACUUCGGGAUAAGCUUGGGAAACUGGGUCUAAUACCGGAUAGGACAAUCGUUUAGUGUCGGUUGUGGAAAGUUUUUUCGGUUAGGGAUGAGCCCGCGGCCUAUCAGCUUGUUGGUGGGGUAAUGGCCUACCAAGGCGUCGACGGGUAGCCGGCCUGAGAGGGUGGACGGCCACAUAGGGACUGAGAUACGGCCCAGACUCCUACGGGAGGCAGGAGUGGGGAAUAUUGCACAAUGGGCGCAAGCCUGAUGCAGCGACGCCGCGUGGGGGAGGACGGCCUUCGGGUGGUAAACCUCUUUCGACAGGGACGAAGCUUUGGUGACGGUACCUGUAUAAGAAGCACCGGCUAACUACGU
rnacentral:rRNA from 1 species